UACGAAGGGGGCUAGCGUUGUUCGGAAUUACUGGGCGUAAAGCGCACGCAGGCGGUUCGAUCAGUCAGAAGUGAAAGCCCCGGGCUUAACCUGGGAACUGCUUUUGAUACUGUCGAGCUUGAAUCACGGAGAGGGUAGUGGAAUUCCGAGUGUAGAGGUGAAAUUCGUAGAUAUUCGGAAGAACACCAGUGGCGAAGGCGACUACCUGGCCGUCGAUUGACGCUCAUGUGCGAAAGCGUGGGGAGCAAACAGG
rnacentral:rRNA from 1 species